rnacentral:misc_RNA from 1 species
GAUGAAGAACGCAGCGAAAUGCGAUAACUAAUGUGAAUUGCAGAAUUCCGUGAAUCAUCGAGUCUUUGAACGCACAUUGCGCCCCCUGGUAUUCCGGGGGGCAUGCCUGUCCGAGCGUCAUUACAACCCUCAAGCUCAGCUUGGUAUUGGGCCCCGCCGCUCCGGCGGGCCCUAAAGUCAGUGGCGGUGCCGUCCGGCUCCGAGCGUAGUAAUUCUUCUCGCUCUGGAGGCCCGGUCGUGUGCUCGCCAGCAACCCCCAAUUUUUUUCAGGUUGACCUCGGAUCAGGUAGGGAUACCCGCUGAACUUAAGCAUAUCAAUAAGCGGAGGA